rnacentral:rRNA from 1 species
AUGGACGAAAGUCUGACGGAGCAACGCCGCGUGAGUGAAGAAGGUUUUCGGAUCGUAAAACUCUGUUUUCAGGGACGAAUGUGCAAUAUGUGAAUAAUGUGUUGUAAUGACGGUACCUGACAAGAAAGCCACGGCUAACUACGUGCCAGCAGCCGCGGUAAUACGUAGGUGGCAAGCGUUGUCCGGAAUUAUUGGGCGUAAAGCGCGCGCAGGUGGGAUAAUCAGUCUGAUGUUAAAGUUCGGGGCUUAACCCCGUGAAGCAUUGGAUACUGUUAUUCUUGAGUGCAGGAGAGGAAAGUGGAAUUCCUAGUGUAGCGGUGAAAUGCGUAGAUAUUAGGAGGAACACCAGUGGCGAAGGCGACUUUCUGGACUGUGUCUGACACUGAGGCGCGAAAGCCAGGGUAGUGAACGGGAUUAGAUACCCCGGUAAUCCUGGCCGUAAACGAUGGGUACUAGGUGUUGGGGGUAUCGACCCCUCCAGUGCCGGAGUUAACGCAAUAAGUACCCCGCCUGGGGAGUACG